AGUUUGAUCCUGGCUCAGGAUGAACGCUAGCGACAGGCUUAACACAUGCAAGUCGAGGGGCAUCAUGAGGUAGCAAUACCUUGAUGGCGACCGGCCAGGGGGAAUAACCGUUUACCAACUUCCCGAGACCCGGGGUUUCCCCAAGGAACGUGGAAUACCACCCCCAUUUGAUCUUUUUCCCGCAGGGAGAUGAAUUAAAUUUCCCAGGUUUCGGAUGGGCCUGCCUCCUUUAUAUUAGGUGGCGGGGGAACACGCCCACCAAGGCCGUUAUUGGGUAGGGUUUUGAAGGAGAAGGUCCCCCACCAUUGGAAAUUGAACCCGGGUCCAAACUCCUUAGGGGGGGCAGCAGUGAGGAAUAUUGGUCAAUGGACGUAAGUCUGAACCAGCCAAGUCGCGUGAGGGAAGACUGCCCUUAUGGGUUGUAAACCUCUUUUAUAAGGGAAGAAUAAGUUCUACGUGUAGAAUGAUGCCUGUACCUUAUGAAUAAGCAUCGGCUAACUCCGUGCCAGCAGCCGCGGUAAUACGGAGGAUGCGAGCGUUAUCCGGAUUUAUUGGGUUUAAAGGGUGCGUAGGCGGUUUAUUAAGUUAGUGGUUAAAUAUUUGAGCUAAACUCAAUUGUGCCAUUAAUACUGGUAAACUGGAGUACAGACGAGGUAGGCGGAAUAAGUUAAGUAGCGGUGAAAUGCAUAGAUAUAACUUAGAACUCCGAUAGCGAAGGCAGCUUACCAGACUGUAACUGACGCUGAUGCACGAGAGCGUGGGUAGCGAACAGGAUUAGAUACCCUGGUAGUCCACGCCGUAAACGAUGCUCACUGGUUCUGUGCGAUAUAUUGUACGGGAUUAAGCGAAAGUAUUAAGUGAGCCACCUGGGGAGUACGUCGGCAACGAUGAAACUCAAAGGAAUUGACGGGGGCCCGCACAAGCGGAGGAACAUGUGGUUUAAUUCGAUGAUACGCGAGGAACCUUACCUGGGUUUAAAUGGGAAAUGCCGUAUUUGGAAACAGAUAUUCUCUUCGGAGCGUUUUUCAAGGUGCUGCAUGGUUGUCGUCAGCUCGUGCCGUGAGGUGUCGGGUUAAGUCCCAUAACGAGCGCAACCCUUACCGUUAGUUGCUAGCAUGUAAUGAUGAGCACUCUAACGGGACUGCCACCGUAAGGUGAGAGGAAGGCGGGGAUGACGUCAAAUCAGCACGGCCCUUACACCCAGGGCUACACACGUGUUACAAUGGCCGGUACAGAGGGCCGCUACCAGGUGACUGGAUGCCAAUCUCAAAAGCCGGUCGUAGUUCGGAUUGGAGUCUGUAACCCGACUCCAUGAAGUUGGAUUCGCUAGUAAUCGCGCAUCAGCCAUGGCGCGGUGAAUACGUUCCCGGGCCUUGUACACACCGCCCGUC
rnacentral:rRNA from 1 species